UUGUCGCCCAGCUGCGAACUGGAGCGGGAGGCGGCGGCCGGAGGGCCCAGGACAGCCCCGGGAGGGCGGCGAGGCGGAGCAGGAGCGCCCCGGCUCCGGCCACAUUCUCAGAGUCAGGAAAAGGGGCGAGAGGCCACAUGUCUCCCUCUCGCCCAACUGAAAACGAAACGGCGCUCCAGCAGAUUGGGUGGAAAGAGCUGGGUCUCUUUUCUCUGUUUUUCACGCUAGAAAGGGCUUGUAAACAUUGUUCCUUUUAAAAUGACCUACCCCAGGCAUUUGUUUGGGCACACUUCUGUCCUGGGGUCAUCGUUCCUAGGUGGCUUCGGACCUGGGACUUUUCCUGUAUCUGCACAUUGUCGUUUUAUACACAAUUGCCAAGGUGGGACUGCUUUCAACUUUACUGUGCUUGAAGCUGCAAAGGUUCUGCCCUGAUGUUUCCUGGAAUAAUGCUGAGGACUGCCUUUCGGGUAGCCGCCCUAUUCAGUUCACUUCAUCUCGGAAAUACCUGACCCCUGCCUUGGAUCCAGCGGCCCUCCUGAGAGCUGAGGAAGGAGGAAAUCCUAUGUGUCUGCUCCCGGAGCUGCCACAACCCAUCUUCCCACAACUCGGAACUUGGAAAAAGGAACCCAGGACACGACUUUGCUUUUCUUUUGGACCUAGUUGAAGUCACAGCUUGGAGGAAACCAGUUUGCACUAUUUGAUGAGGAAUUUGGCCACCAAACCACUGAUACUUUCCCAAAGGUUUGGCAGAAAUUGUUUUUUGAGUGGCUCACCAGAGUACCCAGAAGAAUCAGUAUGGAAUUAGAGGACAGUGGCCUACCCUAAAUAAAGACAUGAGUGAUGUAUAAAGUCUAGUGUCAAUUUAUUCAGAAAAUAUCAAAAUUAUUCUGGGAGCUAUGGGUCAAAGUUGAUAGGCACAAACAAACAAAAACGAAAGGUAUUUUAAAUUCACAGCUUGGAUAAGUAAAAGGGAGAUGUUGUCAUUUCUCUUCUUCAAUCCAACUUUAGAUUUUCAAGCCGGAAAAAGGGUAAUUAGAAGUUAGAAAUUGUUAUUGCCAGAAAAUAGCUCUAAACCCUGAAAAAAAAAAAAAAAAAAAAAAAAACUGACCCUCCUCUUGGGGAGUGAUAAACCUCAAUUACUGUUGAUAGUAAAACUGAUAUCAACUCUUCGAAACCAGUGAAAGGUGAAUGGAAACCUUACCCUAGGUUAAGGUUUAAAAAAUGUUCAUAAUAUAUAUUUGAAAGUUCCAUUAUUUAAAAUAUUCAUUAGACAUGCUUUGUAAUGUUAAGUUACUUCAAAAAAUCUUACACAAGGGAAGGGAAGUAUGUAUUAUUCCUUCAUUUAAGAGAAAGAUAAUGUGUGAAUAUUAGUUAAUAUUUAUCGUACAUUUACUACCUGUGUCGAAGCGUAGUGUUACACACUUAAUUUCAAUUAUUUAAUUUGAUUCUAACAAUGAAUCCCCUGAGAUGGAUAAUAUCCUCUUCAUUUUACAGAUGAGACAAUUGAGACUUAAAGGUUAAACAAAUGAUUUCCUAAGCUCAUUCAGCUAAUAAACGGUAGGGGACUGCUUGACACCAGUCCAGUUGACCCUCAAAUCCAUGAUUUCUGCCACCAUAUUCACAGAAACAAGACAAGAGCUGAAAAUAUAGCCUGACUCUUGAAACAGUCAAAGAAUUGUGUAUGUUUAUGAAAGUUCUGAUUAAUAAGAUAUUCUGAGGACAAAAGACAAGGCAUGGGUAGAGGGGCAAUGUGUAGAUUAGAAUGUAUCACAAUGCCCACUAAAUAGUAAAACCAUAGAAAAUGAAAUUUAAUCCUUACUGUGUAGAAUAUUUAGAGUAGAUUGUUUUUUCCUCGGUGUCAAUUACUAUUACAACUAUCAAAGAAUGAAAUUAAACAAGAAACGGUUCCUUUGGUUUUUUUUUUUAAAGGUGGGAGUUAUAAAAACAGUAUUUGCCAUCUGGUUUUAGUUAUGGCUGUGGAAAUUCUAUGGGUACAAUUUGUUGUCAUUGUUGUUACCACUACCAAUACAGAGAUGCUAAUUGUAACAUCAGUUUCUAAAUCAGAUAGUGAAUAAUUACAUUUUCAAUGUUUUCUUAACAUAGAUACAAGUUAACAGGAUAUGCUUCUGGCCUGUUUCUGGAUUCUAAGGGUAGAACCAGCAUAAAACUAGUCAGUCCAAGUAUUUCUAAAGAUCCACAGACACAGUUCUCCUGGAUUUGGGAAGCCUAGAGAUAUUAGCACAAUAAUUAAGGCCCAAGGUAAAAGCAACAGCAGCCUGAAAAUGCAAAAGACCAUACAUUUUAAUGGUAAGUCCUCCCCAGGAAGGAUUAAUAAAUCUCAGGAGGAAGAUUUAUUAUCUGUAAAUCCAGGAGGAAGAAAUCAAGAUGAAAACUAUCAUAUUUAUAAAUUUGAUUGUUGCAAUUUUAUAGUUUGACAUAGUGCAAUUGCUUUAGAUUUGAAGGGGAACUUACUUUAGAGUAAGUCACUCAAUCUCUUUUUUGGAAAGGCAAAUGCCACACCUGAUCCUCAUCACUCCCUUCUCCUUUGUCCAUAGCCUGGCUUUAUUCUGCCAUUAACACACACACACACACACACACACACACACACACAAAUUGGGAAGAGGAUUUCUCAUUUUACAGAAAGUAUGCUGGGCUACACAGGAUAUUCUAUCAGGUUUCUUCCAGCUAUAAAAUUCUGAGACUAAAUAUCAAAUUAAAGAAAGUACUAAUUGUCAGCGAUGGGGGAUGUACUGCUAUUUGCUUCUAGUGGUACUCACUGCUCAUUUCCUAUAUUCACUGGUAUAAAAAAAUUUCAAACACCCUCAAAAAAGCCUAUACUGGUGGUACCAGGAAAACGCUGAAAAUCAUUACUUUCUGUGUGGUGUCCAGCUCUUUUGGUUACAUCAUCACUUCGACCAUUCACUUUUAAAGAAAAACUUUUGUGGAACAAAAAUAUAAAGAUUUAUUUUUUUUCUUGGUGGCUUAGCACAGUGGCCUAAUGUGGCUGACCAUGUGCACCUGUUGUGUGAGUCACUUAGACGUGCUUUGUUUCUUGGUCACAGUUGAUCCCUCAACUCAAGCAUCUCACCCUCAAAAUGUUUGUUUGGGACCCAAGAGGCAAACCUUGAGAUGGGUUAUUUCUUUCACCUUGGAUUGGCUCAUCUGCUGGGAGUGGAGCCAAGCUGACAUUUCCUUUCCUUUUUGUCUGCCUAUCACUACGUAGAGGCAGCACAUAAGAGAGGGAAAGCCAUGCGCGUGGAGUCCAGCACAUCACCCAGAAGGCAGAUGUUCUAUCUCCAUUUUACUCAUUAAAACAAACAAAACCACACCUGGAUUGCCUGGUACUUAAAUAAAAUGCACUAUGAUGAUUGAAGAAAAAUAUCUUAUAUUUAAGGAAUAGUUUUAAUAGCUUACAUCUGUAUUUCUAUUAGCUUCCGUUUCUAUUUUUAAUAUUUGUAUAAUAUUAAAAGUAAUUUUAAAAAUGAACUAAUCUUUUUACAUCUCUUAUGAGAAUUUAAUGGAGAUAUGAUGUUUGAAGAUCAAAGAUACGUGGUAUUUGAAA
rnacentral:lncRNA from 1 species